AUUGAACGCUGGCGGCAUGCUUUACACAUGCAAGUCGAACGGUAACAGGUUAAGCUGACGAGUGGCGAACGGGUGAGUAAUGCAUCGGAACGUGCCCGAUCGUGGGGGAUAACGCAGCGAAAGCUGCGCUAAUACCGCAUGCGAUCUGAGGAUGAAAGCGGGGGACCGUAAGGCCUCGCGCGAUCGGAGCGGCCGAUGUCAGAUUAGGUAGUUGGUGGGGUAAAGGCUCACCAAGCCAACGAUCUGUAGCUGGUCAGAGAGGACGACCAGCCACACUGGGACUGAGACACGGCCCAGACUCCUACGGGAGGCAGCAGUGGGGAAUUUUGGACAAUGGGCGAAAGCCUGAUCCAGCAAUGCCGCGUGCAGGAAGAAGGCCUUCGGGUUGUAAACUGCUUUUGUACGGAGCGAAAAAGCUCUCUCUAAUACAGGGGGCUCAUGACGGUACCGUAAGAAUAAGCACCGGCUAACUACGUGCCAGCCGCCGCGGUAACAC
rnacentral:rRNA from 1 species